AUGGGUGGAGUACAGUGUGUGGAUUUGUCAGCAUCUGCGUGGAGUCUGGAGCUGCAAACUUCAACCUCUGUAGAGAGCCAGAGGCCUGGGGGCCUGGUGGUUGUUAAAGUACUCAGUGAAGCAGGCAGUUUAAUAUGCAAUGAGGAGUUUCACCUACAUCUAGAGGAACAGUUGCGGUUAAUGACUUCUGGAAUGGACACCUGGCCUCGCACCUGGGAUGUGCUUCGGCAACAUGGCCACCUCAGAUCCCUGCAAUAA
rnacentral:lncRNA from 1 species